rnacentral:rRNA from 1 species
UACGGAGGGCGCAAGCAUUAAUCGGAUUUACUGGGUGUAAAGAGUGCGUAGGCGGACUGGCAAGUCAGAUGUGAAAUUCCGUUGCUUAACAUCGGAGCUGCAUUUGAUACUACCUGUCUUGAGGAUAGAUGGAGAAAACGGAAUUCCACGUGUAGCGGUGAAAUGCGUAGAUAUGUGGAAGAACACCUGUGGCGUAAGCGGUUUUCCAAUUUAUUCCUGACGCUGAGGUACGAGAGCAAGGGGAGCAAACAGG